UUUGUACUCCCUCCAUUCGGAAUUACUUGUCUCAGAAAUGGAUGUAUCUAGAACUAAAAUACGUCUAGAUACAUCCAUUUCCGCGACAAGUAAUUCCGAACGGAGGGAGUAGUUG
rnacentral:pre_miRNA from 1 species